rnacentral:rRNA from 1 species
GAUUGAACGCUGGCGGCAUGAUUUACACAUGCAAGUCGAACGGUAACAGGCCGCAAGGUGCUGACGAGUGGCGAACGGGUGAGUAAUGCAUCGGAACGUGCCCAGUCGUGGGGGAUAACUACUCGAAAGAGUAGCUAAUACCGCAUACGAUCUAUGGAUGAAAGCGGGGGACCGUAAGGCCUCGCGCGAUUGGAGCGGCCGAUGUCAGAUUAGGUAGUUGGUGGGGUAAAGGCUCACCAAGCCAACGAUCUGUAGCUGGUCUGAGAGGACGACCAGCCACACUGGGACUGAGACACGGCCCAGACUCCUACGGGAGGCAGCAGUGGGGAAUUUUGGACAAUGGGCGCAAGCCUGAUCCAGCAAUGCCGCGUGCAGGAAGAAGGCCUUCGGGUUGUAAACUGCUUUUGUACGGAACGAAACGGCUCUGGUUAAUACCCGGGGCUAAUGACGGUACCGUAAGAAUAAGCACCGGCUAACUACGUG